rfam:Fukomys damarensis contig85794, whole genome shotgun sequence.
CCCUCCCUUCUCCACGCCCCCCCCCACGUCAAGCCUCUGGCAUCAUUAUCCUCAGCGCUAAGUCCUCAGAGUGCAGGGCGGAAAGCGUGCACAC